rnacentral:miRNA from 1 species
CCCUCCUUGCUUACAUUUCUC